AGAGUUUGAUUCUGGCUCAGGAUGAACGCUGGCGGCGUGCUUAACACAUGCAAGUCGAACGAGGGCGAUAGCAAUAUUGCCCGAGUGGCGGACGGGUGAGUAACGCGUGAACAAUCUGCCUGUAUCAGGGGAAUAACACUAAGAAAUUGGUGCUAAUACCGCAUAAGACCACGGAGAGGCAUCUCCCCGGGGUAAAAGAAUAAUCGGAUACAGAUGAGUUCGCGUCCCAUUAGGUAGUUGGUGAGGUAACGGCCCACCAAGCCGACGAUGGGUAGCCGACCUGAGAGGGUGAUCGGCCACAUUGGAACUGAGAGACGGUCCAGACUCCUACGGGAGGCAGCAGUGGGGAAUAUUGGGCAAUGGAGGGAACUCUGACCCAGCAACGCCGCGUGAGUGAAGAAGGUUUUCGGAUUGUAAAACUCUUUAAGCGGGGACGAAGAAAGUGACUGUACCCGCAGAAUAAGCAUCGGCUAACUACGUGCCAGCAGCCGCGGUAAUACGUAGGAUGCAAGCGUUAUCCGGAUUUACUGGGUGUAAAGGGAGCGCAGGCGGGACUGCAAGUUGGAUGUGAAAUACCGUGGCUUAACCACGGAACUGCAUCCAAAACUGUAGUUCUUGAGUGAAGUAGAGGCAAGCGGAAUUCCGAGUGUAGCGGUGAAAUGCGUAGAUAUUCGGAGGAACACCAGUGGCGAAGGCGGCUUGCUGGGCUUUAACUGACGCUGAGGCUCGAAAGUGUGGGGAGCAAACAGGAUUAGAUACCCUGGUAGUCCACACUGUAAACGAUGAUAGCUAGGUGUGGGGGGUCUGACCCCUUCCGUGCCGGAGUUAACGCAAUAAGCUAUCCACCUGGGGAGUACGACCGCAAGGUUGAAACUCAAAGGAAUUGACGGGGGCCCGCACAAGCAGUGGAUUAUGUGGUUUAAUUCGAAGCAACGCGAAGAACCUUACCAGGUCUUGACAUCCGACUAACGAGAUAGAGAUAUGUCAGGUGCCCUUCGGGGAAAGUCGAGACAGGUGGUGCAUGGUUGUCGUCAGCUCGUGUCGUGAGAUGUUGGGUUAAGUCCCGCAACGAGCGCAACCCCUAUUGUUAGUUGCUACGCAAGAGCACUCUAGCGAGACUGCCGUUGACAAAACGGAGGAAGGUGGGGACGACGUCAAAUCAUCAUGCCCCUUAUGACCUGGGCUACACACGUAAUACAAUGGCCGUUAACAGAGGGAAGCAAAGCGGUGACGCAGAGCAAAACCCUAAAAACGGUCCCAGUUCGGACUGUAGGCUGCAACCCGCCUACACGAAGUUGGAAUUGCUAGUAAUCGCGGAUCAGCAUGCCGCGGUGAAUACGUUCCCGGGCCUUGUACACACCGCCCGUCACACCAUGGGAGUUUGUAACACCCGAAGUCAGUGACCCAACCGCAAGGAGGGAGCUGCCGAAGGUGGGAUAAGCGACUGGGGUGAAGUCGUAACAAGGUAGCCGUAGGAGAACCUGCGGCUG
rnacentral:rRNA from 1 species